UGUAGGAGCUGCCGAAGGCUGCGAUCUUUUGAUCUUGUUUUUAGGAUCUAAAGAUCGCAGCCUUCGGCAGCUCCUACA
rnacentral:antisense_RNA from 1 species